AAUUAUAAUUUUUUUAAAAAAUUAAUUUAAUAUAGUUAAUGAGCUUGAAUAAGCAUAU
rnacentral:tRNA from 1 species